UGUUCGUCAGUCGAGGGUUAGUCGGUCCUAAGACGUACCGUAAUUCGAGUACGCCGAAAGGGAAACAGGUUAAUAUUCCUGUACCUGUAUCAAACAAUCCUGACGCUUUCGGAUAGGCAUUGCGGAGCCAUCGCUCCGUCUAAGCUGGAUAUGAAAUUGGAGUACCGUAAUGGUGAGAAUUUUUCAAAACGGUGAUGGGGUAACAAUGCUGAUUCCAGGAGCCCGUGAAAAGGGUGAUACGGUCCGUACCGAGAACUGACACAGGUGCCCCUCGCUGAGAAGGCGAAGGCGUGUCGGGAGUAAAUGUGUUAAGGGAACUCGGCAAAUUAGCCCUGUAACUUUGGGAUAAGGGGUGCCUGCCCAGCGAUUGGGCAGGUCGCAGUGACAAGAUCGCUCCGACUGUCUAAUAACAACAUAGCAGACUGCAACUCCGAAAGGACUCGUAUAGUCUGUGAUUCAUGCCCAGUGCGAGUAUCUGAACACCGGGUUCAACCGGACGAAGGACUCGUAAACGGCGGGGGUAACAAUGACCCUCUUAAGGUAGCGUAGUACCUUGUCGCUUAAUUGGCGACUUGCAUGAAUGGAAUAACGAGAGCGAUACUGUCCCUAACACAUACCCGUUGAACCUUCUGUACUAGUGCAGAGACUAGUGACUCCUUAUGGGAAGUGAAGACCCCGUGGAGCUUUACUGCAGCCUGUCGUUGGGUUACGGUAUUACCUGCGCAGGGUAGAUGGGAGACGUCGAUCCAACCCUUGUGGGGGUUGGUUAGUCAACGAUGAGACACCAUCCUGGUUUUAUUGUAAUUCUAACUGAUUUAUCAGGACAUCGAUAGGUAGGCAGUUUGGGUGGGGCGCCACACCCUCGAAAAAAUAUCAAGGGUGCCCUAAGGUCAACUCAAGCGGGUCAGAAACCCGCUGAAGAGUGUCAAGAGCAAAAGUUGGCCUGACGCGAUUUCGCAUAGCAAGAAAUCGCGAGAGGAAACUCGGGUCUAACGAACCAAUACGCCCUGUUGAUGAGGGCUAUUGACUACAGAAAAGCUACCCCGGGGAUAACAGAGUCGUCGCCGGCAAGAGCACAUAUCGACCCGGCGGCUUGCUACCUCGAUGUCGGUUCUUUCCAUCCUGGCUGUGCAGCAGCAGCCAAGGGUGAGGUUGUUCGCCUAUUAAAGGGGAUCGUGAGCUGGGUUUAGACCGUCGUGAGACAGGUCGGUUACUAUCUAUAAGGAGCGUUGGAAGUCUGAAGGCAAGAAUGAAAUAGUACGAGAGGAACUUUCAUUCGGCGCCACUGGUCUACCGGUUGUCUGACAAGGCACCGCCGGGCAGCUACGCGCCAAGAGAUAAAAGCUGAAAGCAUCUAAGCUUGAAACUCAGCCUGAACAAGAGACUUCAUUAAAGACACGGGUAAAAGACCCGGUUGAUAGGUUCGGGAUGUACGCACGAAGGCAACGACGUGUUCAGUCCGCGAAUACUC
rnacentral:rRNA from 1 species